rnacentral:rRNA from 1 species
UGCUGUGGUAUUUUAACUAUACAAAGGUAUUGUAAUAAGACUUUAAUUGAGAGCUAAGAGAAUGGAAUUUCAAAAAAUUUCUUUUUUGAAAUUAAAAAUUAAAGUUAUUUUUCUUUGUGAAGAAACAAAAAUGAAAAUUAAGGACAAGAAGACCCUAUGAAUUUUUAUUUUAUUAUACAGUAAAAUUGUAUUAGUAUAAUUAAAUUUAAUUGGGGCGAUUAAAAAAUAUAACUAACUUUUUAAAAAUUUAAAAUGAUCCUUUAUUAAAGAUAUAUUGGACAAAUACUCUAGGGAUAACAGCGUAAUAAUUUUAGAUAGUUCUUAUAGAAAAAAUAGUUUGCGACCUCGAUGUUGGAUUAGGAUACUUAUUUAAUGAAGAAGUUAAAUAAAGAAGUUUGUUCAACUUUUAAUUUCCUACAUGAUCUGAGUUCAGACCGGA